rnacentral:lncRNA from 1 species
UGAAAUGUGGGCUAGUAGGGGUAAUGCACAUUUGUAGGCAUUGGAUAACUUUGGUACUGUGUUGUAAUGUUAUGUUCCCUUUGUACCUUGAAACUUUGGACAACUGCUCUAUGAUGUUAUGUGAUUCCUGUUUGUUUGUCACAUUGAGGCUUGGGCAACAAUUCUAUGAUGAUCUGUUAUUUCUCUUUCUAUCUCAGUUUGAGGCUUGGACAACAAUGCUAUGAUGAUCUGUUAUUCCUCUUUCUAUCUCAG